GGGGCUGUAGCUCAGAUGGUAGAGCGCGCGCUUAGCAUGCGCGAGGUACCGGGAUCGAUACCCGGCACCUCCA
rfam:Ciona savignyi cont_19147, whole genome shotgun sequence.